ACACUUACCUGGCAGGGGGAGAGGCAGUGAUCAUGAAGGUGGUUUUCCCAGGGCGAGGCUUAUCCAUUGCAGUCUGGAUGUGCUGACCCCUGUGGUUUCCCCAAAUGUGGUAGCUGGGGACUGUUUUCUCUCUCCCCUG
rfam:Mesocricetus auratus contig050244, whole genome shotgun sequence.